rnacentral:rRNA from 1 species
GGAUCAGUACGCCGGUCGUGCCUUCGGUAUGUACUGACGUUACUGAUUUCUACCUUCUGACGAACCGUCAUGCCAUUAAUUUGGUGUGGCGGGGAAUCAGGACUGUUACUUUGAAAAAAUUAGAGUGUUUAAAGCAGGCUUUUGCUAUGAAUACAUUAGCAUGGAAUAAUAAUUUAGGACUUUGCUCCUAUUUUAUUGGUUUCUAGGGGUAAAGUA